rnacentral:rRNA from 1 species
UAGGAUUUCUUGGUAGCGGCGAGCGACCAGGAAUUAGCCCGACACCGAAUCCUGUACCAUCUUGGUAUUAGGAGUUGUGGUGGAUAGGAUUGUAUCUUUAACUGCUCAGUUGGCUUGAAAUUCGCUUGAAUGCGAUAUGUCCGUAGAGGGUGUCAGACCUGUUCAAGCUGAUAGGGCGGUUAUUGAUGCUUUCCAAUGAGUAGGAUUGUUUGGGAAUGCAGUCCAAAUUGGGUGGUAGAUUCCAUCUAAGGCUAAAUACUUGUCUGAGUCCGAUAGUAAACAAGUACCGUGAGGGAAAGUUGAAAAGAACUUUGAAGAGAGAGUUAAACAGCACGUGAAAUCGCUUAGAGGUAAACGAGUAGAGCCGAAGGUUGGUAUAUGGGGUUCAGCUAUUUCGAUGUCACAUGAAGUUGUAUAAAUCUGUUAAAGCUUGUGCUUCUGAAUUGUUGAUAUCUGAGUGGUGCACUUUCUGUAUAUCAAAUAUGCGACCAGUAUGAGGUUUUUCUGUCGUAGAGAUGAAGUUGACUUUAUCUUCGGAUUUGGUUUUAUAGCUUUCUGCAUGGUUGAACUUCAAACUGGUGAUCGUGACUAAUCGCCGCUGGUUGUUGGAUAUUUAUGCGUUGUGUGUGUAGACUCAUAAGAGGUUGCAUGUAUAAUGUGUUUAUGUCUGGUGAUCAGCUGAUUAGUGCAUAGUCAGCAUUGUUAUGUAGGCAGUCUACUUGUCCCGUCUUGAAACACGGACCAAGGAGUUUUUUAUACUUGCAAGUCAAAGGGUCGACCGAAACCCCACGGCGUAAUGAAAGUAAAAUAAGUUCUUCGGAGCUUAAAAUGCGACCUCGGUGGUAGCCCCACUGAGUGCAGCAUUGCCCUGUUCAAAGAUGUUCGCAUCUGAGCAGAGGUGGAGCAGGUAUGAAGAGACCCGAAAGAUGGUGAACUUUGGUUGUGCAGGUUGAAGCCAGAGGAAACUCUGGUGGAGGACCGAAGCAGUUCUGACGUGCAAAUCGAUUGUCAGACAUGACCAAAGGGGCGAAAGACUAAUCGAACCAUCUAGUAGCUGGUUCCCUCCGAAGUUUCCCUCAGGAUAGCUGGCGCUGGUAAACUAGUUAUAUCCGGUAAAGCGAAUGAUUAGAAGUACCGGGGUCGAAAUGAUCUCGACUUAUUCUCAAACUUUAAAUGGGUAUGAAGUGCUGCUUACUUUAUUGAAGUAGUACGACUAAUAACAGUGCUUAGUGGGCCAUUUUUGGUAAGCAGAACUGGCGAUGUGGGAUGAACCAAACAUCCAGUUAAGGUGCCUAAUUCAUGCUCAUGAGACACCACAAAAGGUGUUGGUUGAUAAAGACAGCAGGACGGUGGACAUGGAAGUUGUCAUCCGCUAAGGAGUGUGUAACAACUCACCUGCCGAAUCAACCAGCCCUGAAAAUGGAUGGCGCUGUAGCAUGGAACCUAUACUGGAUCGGCAUGGUAAGCUUAUUGCGAGAACGCCAUGUCGUGUAGGAGGGCGCUGUGGUAGUGUAGAAGCUACUGGCGUGAGCCAGGGUGGAACUGCCACGGGUGCAGAUCUUGGUAGUAGUAGCAAAAUUAUCAAAAGGAAUUACCCA